UACGAAGGGUGCUAGCGUUGUUCGGAAUUACUGGGCGUAAAGCGCGCGUAGGCGGCUUUUCAAGUCAAGGGUGAAAUCCUGAGGCUCAACCUCAGAAUUGCCUUUGAAACUGUAAAACUUGAGUGUCGGAGGGGAUAGCGGAAUUGCUAAUGUAGAGGUGAAAUUCGUAGAUAUUAGCAGGAACACCGGUGGCGAAGGCGGCUAUCUGGACGACAACUGACGCUGAGGCGCGAAAGCGCGGGGAUCAAACAGG
rnacentral:rRNA from 1 species